AAAUGCAUGUAUUAUGUAGUUCCAGCGAGAAACGACGAAGUAAAAGUAAAAUAAGUAAUAAUAUUUGCCGGCUUUCAAUCUAAUUUAAUAAUUCAGAAAUAAUUGAGACAUUUAACUAUAUCAAUACUAGAAAUUUUAAGGUUAUAAAUAGACAGAGAGAAUUCCUGUCAGCUCUCUGAAAGCAGUAUAAAAGGAAAAUACGUUCAAAUGUAAAAUGUUUAGACGGUUUACUAAACACAUUCACAAGUGUACAAGUAUUGAUAUGAGAUGAAUGAAUACACAGGAAAAAACAAUAAGAAUGAAGUCUGAAAUGUGCUGAAAUCUUUGCUGAUCUCCCACUAAUAUUGAACAGUACGACUCGUAAUUAUAUAUUAAGUCAGUUUGGAGAACAUACUAAAAACACUAAUGAUAUAAUCGUAAGUGAAAGGA